rnacentral:rRNA from 1 species
GAUGAACGCUGGCGGCGUGCCUAAUACAUGCAAGUCGAGCGGACAGACGAGGAGCUUGCUCCUCUGACGUUAGCGGCGGACGGGUGAGUAACACGUGGAUAACCUACCUAUAAGACUGGGAUAACUUCGGGAAACCGGAGCUAAUACCGGAUAAUAUAUUGAACCGCAUGGUUCAAUAGUGAAAGACGGUUUUGCUGUCACUUAUAGAUGGAUCCGCGCCGCAUUAGCUAGUUGGUAAGGUAACGGCUUACCAAGGCGACGAUGCGUAGCCGACCUGAGAGGGUGAUCGGCCACACUGGAACUGAGACACGGUCCAGACUCCUACGGGAGGCAGCAGUAGGGAAUCUUCCGCAAUGGGCGAAAGCCUGACGGAGCAACGCCGCGUGAGUGAUGAAGGUCUUCGGAUCGUAAAACUCUGUUAUUAGGGAAGAACAAAUGUGUAAGUAACUAUGCACGUCUUGACGGUACCUAAUCAGAAAGCCACGGCUAACUACGUG